GACAGAGGGUGCGAACGUUGCUCGGAAUUACUGGGCGUAAAGCGUGCGUAGGCGUUUCGUUAAGUUCGUCGUGAAAGCCCCGGGCUCAACCUGGGAAUGGCGAUGGAAACUGGCGGGCUGGAGUAUGGCAGAGGGAGGUGGAAUUCCACGUGUAGCAGUGAAAUGCGUAGAGAUGUGGAGGAACACCGAUGGCGAAGGCAGCCGCCUGGGCCAGCACUGACGCUCAUGCACGAAAGCGUGGGGAGCAAACAGG
rnacentral:rRNA from 1 species